rnacentral:rRNA from 1 species
UGGGGAAUAUUGGACAAUGGGGGCAACCCUGAUCCAGCCAUGCCGCGUGUGUGAAGAAGGCCCUAGGGUUGUAAAGCACUUUCAGUGGGGAAGAAAAGCUCGAGGCUAAUAUCCUCGGGUCAUGACGGUACCCACAGAAGAAGCACCGGCUAAUUCCGUGCCAGCAGCCGCGGUAAUACGGAAGGUGCAAGCGUUAAUCGGAAUUACUGGGCGUAAAGCGCGCGUAGGCGGUCAGAUAAGUCGGGUGUGAAAGCCCCGGGCUCAACCUGGGAACUGCAUUCGAUACUGUCUGGCUAGAGUGUGAUAGAGGGAGGUGGAAUUCCGCAUGUAGCGGUGAAAUGCGUAGAGAUGCGGAGGAACACCAAUGGCGAAGGCAACCUCCUGGAUCAACACUGACGCUGAGGUGCGAAAGCGUGGGGAGCAAACAGGAUUAGAUACCCCCGUAGUCC